rnacentral:rRNA from 1 species
CCUGGUGGCUUUUGCGAGACGACAGGACCCGAUCCCAUCCCGAACUCGGCCGUCAAACGUCUCAGCGCCCAUGGUACUGUGUCUCAAGACCCGGGAGAGUCGGUCGCCGCCAGGC